rnacentral:sRNA from 1 species
GCCAGGAGGCCGACAAGAUGUUCUUUCUAAUUGAGUUAAAAAUAUUAUCCACGAAGAAGUUGAAAAAUAUGAAAAGCAGUAUCGAGGCAAGGAGCUUCUGGGAUUUGUCAACUACAAGACAUUUGAGAUCAUCGUGCAUCAGUACAUCCAGCAGCUGGUGGAGCCCGCCCUUAGCAUGCUCCAGAAAGCCAUGGAAAUUAUCCAGCAAGCUUUCAUUAACGUGGCCAAAAAACAUUUUGGCGAAUUUUUCAACCUUAACCAAACUGUUCAGAGCAAGAUUGAAGACAUAAAAGUGAAACACACAGCAAAGGCAGAAAACAUGAUCCAACUUCAGUUCAGAAUGGAGCAGAUGGUUUUUUGUCAAGAUCAGAUUUACAGUGUUGUUCUGAAGAAAGUCCGAGAAGAGAUUUUUAACCCUCUGGGGAUGCCUUCACAGAAUAUGAAGUUGAACUCUCAUUUUCCCAAUAAUGAGUCUUCAGUUUCCUCCUUUACUGAAAUAGGCAUCCACCUGAAUGCCUACUUCUUGGAAACCAGCAAACGUCUCGCCAACCAGAUCCCAUUU